rnacentral:hammerhead_ribozyme from 1 species
AUCCGGGUGACGAAUCCCAAAUAGGAUGAAAUGCGCAUCCUGGAU